UCGAGCGGACAGAAGGGAGCUUGCUCCCGGAUGUUAGCGGCGGACGGGUGAGUAACACGUGGGUAACCUGCCUGUAAGACUGGGAUAACUCCGGGAAACCGGAGCUAAUACCGGAUAGUUCCUUGAACCGCAUGGUUCAAGGAUGAAAGACGGUUUCGGCUGUCACUUACAGAUGGACCCGCGGCGCAUUAGCUAGUUGGUGAGGUAACGGCUCACCAAGGCGACGAUGCGUAGCCGACCUGAGAGGGUGAUCGGCCACACUGGGACUGAGACACGGCCCAGACUCCUACGGGAGGCAGCAGUAGGGAAUCUUCCGCAAUGGACGAAAGUCUGACGGAGCAACGCCGCGUGAGUGAUGAAGGUUUUCGGAUCGUAAAGCUCUGUUGUUAGGGAAGAACAAGUGCAAGAGUAACUGCUUGCACCUUGACGGUACCUAACCAGAAAGCCACGGCUAACUACGUGCCAGCAGCCGCGGUAAUACGUAGGUGGCAAGCGUUGUCCGGAAUUAUUGGGCGUAAAGGGCUCGCAGGCGGUUUCUUAAGUCUGAUGUGAAAGCCCCCGGCUCAACCGGGGAGGGUCAUUGGAAACUGGGAAACUUGAGUGCAGAAGAGGAGAGUGGAAUUCCACGUGUAGCGGUGAAAUGCGUAGAGAUGUGGAGGAACACCAGUGGCGAANGCGACUCUCUGGUCUGUAACUGACGCUGANGAGCGAAAGCGUGGGGAGCGAACAGGAUUAGAUACCCUGGUAGUCCACGCCGUAAACGAUGAGUGCUAAGUGUUAGGGGGUUUCCGCCCCUUANUGCUGCAGCUAACGCAUU
rnacentral:rRNA from 1 species